UGUGCAUAUCACCCUGAAUGUGCCUGAUCCUGUCUGAUCUCAGAGGCUAAGCAGGAUUGGGCCUGGUUAGUACUUAGAUGGGAGAAGAAAGGCAGACAAAAUAU
rnacentral:rRNA from 10 species